rnacentral:rRNA from 1 species
ACGAGUGGCGGACGGGUGAGUAAAGACUUGGGAAGUCUGUCUUAUGAGGGGGAGUAACUACGGGAAACUAGUAGCUAAUACCGCAUAAAAUACUGAGGAUAAAAGGGUAGGGGCGUCUUCGGACCACCUGCCAUAAGGUGAGCCCAAGUGGGAUUAGGUAGUUGGUGGGGUAAAGGCCUACCAAGCUGACGAUCUCUAGCUGGUCUGAGAGGAUGACCAGCCACACUGGAACUGAGACACGGUCCAG